rnacentral:rRNA from 1 species
AUUGAACGCUGGCGGCAGGCCUAACACAUGCAAGUCGGACGGUAGCACAGAGGAGCUUGCUCCUCGGGUGACGAGUGGCGGACGGGUGAGUAAUGUCUGGGGAUCUGCCCGAUAGAGGGGGAUAACCACUGGAAACGGUGGCUAAUACCGCAUAACGUCGCAAGACCAAAGAGGGGGACCUUCGGGCCUCUCACUAUCGGAUGAACCCAGAUGGGAUUAGCUAGUAGGCGGGGUAAUGGCCCACCUAGGCGACGAUCCCUAGCUGGUCUGAGAGGAUGACCAGCCACACUGGAACUGAGACACGGUCCAGACUCCUACGGGUGGCAGCAGUGGGGAAUAUUGCACAAUGGGCGCAAGCCUGAUGCAGCCAUGCCGCGUGUAUGAAGAAGGCCUUCGGGUUGUAAAGUACUUUCAGCGGGGAGGAAGGCGAUAGGGUUAAUAACCUUGUCGAUUGACGUUACCCGCAGAAGAAGCACCGGCUAACUCCGUGCCAGCAGCCGCAGUAA